UCCUAGGUUUCAUUAUCUUUUCUCAGCAGCACAAAACCACAAGAAAAGGAGAAGGUUGUACGGAGACAGGGGCUCAGGGGAUGGUGGUCGACGGCGACAGGGGGUCGGGUUCGUGCUGUACGGCGGCAAGGGGCUCGGGGCUGGACUCGAUGGCGGGUGGGGGGGUCUCGGGUCUGGGCUCGACGGUGCAGGGGCUGGGCAUUUUCUCAGUCCAUUCCCUCUUUCAGUCACUCAGGGUUGCAAAGAUUAUUGGGAAAGGUAUAACAAAAAAAAAAUGUCAUGAUGCUGCCAUAGUUGAUUAUUCCAAUGCUUAAAGUGGACAAGAAGUGUUCAUUCAAAGAAAGAGAUUGAGAGAAAGGUUGCUAGUUAUUGAUUAAUUUAGUCAAUUGAGUUAUAUAUGCUCUUUUUUAUUGUACUAAUAAGUAGGAAUUUAUUCUAUUUUAUAUUGAAUCAAGUUGUCGUUUAUAAUACAUGUUGAGAAAUUGAAAUUUCUUUUAAAAAAAUUUGGCGUUUUUUCAGUA